UAGAUUUUAAAAGCAUAAGUAUUGUAUCCUUGUUAGAAGAUAUAAUGACAAAGACUCAUAUGGACUUCGGGUACACCAUGAAAGCUUUGGGAAGCAAUAAGAAGCUUGGUUAGUGUUUUGGAGUGAAAUAUGACUAGAUGUCAUGUGUAUGAGUGCGUAUAACAACUAGAAUUGCAACCAGAUCUUAAAAGCCUAAGUAUUGUAUUCUUGUUAGAAGAUACAAAGACGAAGACUCAUACGGACUUCGGCUACACAAUCAAAGCUUUGAGU
rnacentral:sRNA from 1 species